rnacentral:rRNA from 1 species
CCUANGGGUGGCAGCAGUGGGGAAUUUUUGGCAAUGGGCGCAAGCCUGACCAAGCAACGCCGCGUGGGUGAUGAAGUAUCUUGGUACGUAAAACCCUUUCGGCAGGAACGAACACAAUGACGGUACCUGCAGAAGAAGCCCCGGCUAACUCCGUGCCAGCAGCCGCGGUAAUACGGGGGGGGCAAGCGUUGUUCGGAAUUACUGGGCGUAAAGGGCGCGUAGGCGGUUGGAUAAGUUGGUGGUGAAAACCUCGAGCUUAACUCGGGGCCUGCCAUCAAUACUGUCCGGCUGGAGUGUGGGAGAGGAGAGUGGAAUUCCCGGUGUAGAGGUGAAAUUCGUAGAUAUCAGGAGGAACACCGGUGGCGAAGGCGACUUCCUGGCCCUAUACUGACGCUGAGACGCGAGAGCGUGGGUAGCAAACAGGAUUAGAUACCCCANUANUC